rnacentral:lncRNA from 1 species
UGAUAUGCAAUUUAUAUUAUGGAUUUAAGCACAUCAUGACGAAGACUUUCACCUCUGAGUUUCCCCAUGUUGAGAGAUACUUUUGGACCGUGGCCAACCAACCAAAAAUUAAGAAGUUUUUGGGUGAUUUUAAGCAAGCCGAAUCUGUCCCAGCUGUUCAGUCUGCAAAGAAGCCUGCUCAAGCUAAGGAAUCUGCUAAACCAAAGGCCAAGGCGGAACCAAAGAAAGAAGCACCAAAGCCCAAAGCUGAAGCUGCUGAAGAAGAGGAAGCACCUAAGCCCAAACCAAAGAACCCUCUUGAUCUGCUGCCCCCAAGUAAGAUGAUUCUGGAUGACUGGAAGAGGCUUUACUCAAACACGAAGUCCAACUUCCGUGAAGUUGCAAUUAAAGGUACGCUUUCAAGUCUUACACGUUUAACAUAGUCUUAGAAAAUGCUAGUUGGUAGAUAUUGUUGUUCAUGAGCUGAUGUGAAUUUCUAUGUUGUAGGAUUCUGGGACAUGUAUGAUCCUGAGGGUUACUCACUUUGGUUCUGUGAUUACAAAUACAAUGACGAGAAUACUGUGUCAUUCGUGACCUUGAACAAGGUUAGUGGGUUUCUUCAGAGGAUGGAUCUGGCUCGCAAGUAUGCGUUUGGAAAGAUGUUAAUUAUCGGCAACGAGCCUCCAUACAAAGUCAAGGGGUUGUGGCUCUUCCGUGGCCCAGAAAUUCCUAAAUUCGUCAUGGAUGAGUGCUAUGACAUGGAAUUGUAUGACUGGAAGAAGGCUGACAUCUCAGACGAAGAGCAAAAGGAACGUGUGAACCAGAUGAUCGAGGAUC